AUCCUGACCCGCGCUUUCCUCCACCCCAUCGACACCCUCUCCUCCGCCGCCACCCACCCUUCCUUCGCCCCACGCCACCAACUCCUCCAUCAAGAUUGCUCUGUCUCGAUCCCCUUCCUCUGCCCAGGUAGCCCUGUUCCAGUCCCUGUCCUCCGCCCAGAUAGCCACAUCCCGGCCCAUUUUCGGCUAGGUCGCCCUGUAAUGUCCCUCUUCUCCGGCAAGGUCGCAAGGACACCCCGACGUCAAGGUUACAUGUCCCUCUCACCGCAGGUUGGCUUCUCCUCUGCCUCUCCUUCCCACUGCCUUUUGUUCCAUCUCAUCCACUGCGGUAUUUCGUCCAAUCCGUCCGCCUCUUGGUGUUUGCGCUGUAGAUCGAGCCCGCAGAAGCACGUUUGGCUGUCUCGGUUGACAAUAU
rnacentral:lncRNA from 1 species